CCUGGAUGGCCCCAUGUUCUCUUGGGAGCUCCAUCUGGGUAGCUGUGGUGAUUCCUGUGGCUGGAUAGGACACAGGGGACACAGAGGACAUUGCUUUCUGCCAGAGGAGAUGCCAUGACUGGAUCUCCACAUGAGUGGGUCACAACAACUGGUUGAAGAGGCAGUGACAGUGCCCUCCCUGCAGGCCCUCACAAACAAACUGCUGUGCCAUGCCCUGGCUGCCAUGCUGCAGCCUGUUAGCCUGCCCUGGUCCCUCAUGCUCCUCUGCUACACUAUGGGACAUGCCUGCACUGGAGCUGACCACCUUGAAACCUUCUUCACUUGGUAGUGCUGGAAGUCACUCAGUGUCUCAGGAGUAUGGCUGAUGUGAAGACUCAUACAUAAUACUUCUUUGUCAAGCCCACAGUGUGGCAGGCCAGGGCUCCUGCAGAAGUCCAGCAGAUGUGUCUCCUGGCAGAAAAUCAGCUGAGAUAAUGAGAAAAGGCUUCAACUUCCAUAUGCUGGUAUCAGCCCAGAUUUAAUGUGCUCCUCUGAGUGCUUCUCUUCGUCAAAAUUUCUGUAGCACUCUGGCAGGUUUUCUCAACCCCUUCAAGAGAAGAUGCUCACGGAAAGGCUGCUGGUCUAUAAUUACUCUGCUGUGUCUGCUUUCCUGCUCCUUUCCCAUCAGCCCUGAUGAGCUUAAAUAGAAGUUAUAUUCUGUAUUUUCCCUCACCUCUCAGUGGCCAAUAUUAGUGAAUACAUUUGAAUGUAUGCUUGUUGCUAAGAAAUGUGGCCCUGGCUGCCUUUUGGAAAAAUUAUGACUAUGUUAUAGAUCCAAAACCUAGAAGAGCUUGGGUUUUAUGAGGAAUACCAGUAGGAGACCUAAGUAUUCCUCUUACAUGAUGGUUAUAUAGGAUGGAGUUCAAGUCUUCACAGGCAGAUGGGCAGCGAGAUGCAGGUGACAUAAACAGAAUGCAAAUACAGAAGGAAAUCUGGUGGAGCUUAGGUUGCUUCCAACUAUACCAGUUUCUUCUAGUUAUC